rnacentral:lncRNA from 13 species
CCCUUCCUUCCUUCUUUUUUUUUUUUUUUUUUUUUCUUGAGACGGAGUCUCUGUUGCCCAGGCUAGAGUGCAGGGGCACGAUCUCAGCUCACUGCAAACUCUGCCUCCCAGGUUCAAGCGAUUAUCCUGCCUCAUCCUCCCGAGUAGUUGGGACUGCAGUGAACACCAUCAAGCCCAGUUAACAUCUUCCCUUCUUUCUGAGUGUCUGCUGAGAGCUCAAGCAGCCUGAUGAACCUCCUCCCCAUGGGCUGCAAAAGAAAGGGUGGACCCGGCUUAUCAGUAGCACGAGGCCUGCUUCCCCAGUCAUUGGCACCGUUAAUGCCCACCUGGUGGGAAAGAGCCUGCAGGGCAUGGGCCUCGUGACAGCCUCCCUCGAGUCAGAAGGCCCUGAGCAGACUGAUCUUCGUCUCCUCACAAGACAGGUCACUCCCCUCCCAAGCUUCCAAGCCUUUACCGGAGUUGUUUUCUUGUCCCUUUAGUCUGUUGGUAUUGAAGUCUGGGCGGCCUGACAGCCCUGGCAGGCAGCCCAGAGGCCAGCGCCCCAGGCAGACACUCUCUCUGCCUUAUUAUGCAGCUUCGAGGCCUCGCUGCGAUUGGGUGGCAUUUGGGAGCACAAAAGAGAAGACUCAGGCAUUCAGAAGGCCCUUUCAGCAAAGGGCGCCACAGGCCUGCUGGCUGGAGCGUCUCCUGAGGACCCAGGUUAACACAGGCUGCCCAAGCUAAGCUUUCACAGAUAUGUUCUCCAUCCUCAAAACAACUCUGUGACCGAGGAACU